rnacentral:rRNA from 1 species
UACGGAGGGGGCUAGCGUUGUUCGGAAUUACUGGGCGUAAAGCGCACGUAGGCGGCUUUGCAAGUUAGAGGUGAAAGCCCAGGGCUUAACCCUGGAAUUGCCUUUAAAACUGCAUCGCUAGAAUUGUGGAGAGGUAAGUGGAAUUCCGAGUGUAGAGGUGAAAUUCGUAGAUAUUCGGAAGAACACCAGUGGCGAAGGCGACUUACUGGACACAUAUUGACGCUGAGACGCGAAAGCUGGGGGAGCAAACGGG